rnacentral:tRNA from 1 species
GGCGCAGUAGCCCGGCGGUAGAGCCCUCGCCUGGUAUACGAGCAGACCCGGGUUUGGUUCCGGCUGCUCCG